rnacentral:rRNA from 1 species
UACGUAGGGUGCGAGCGUUAAUCGGAAUUACUGGGCGUAAAGCGUGCGCAGGCGGUUAUGUAAGACAGGUGUGAAAUCCCCGGGCUUAACCUGGGAACUGCAUUUGUGACUGCAUAGCUAGAGUACGGUAGAGGGGAUGGAAUUCCGCGUGUAGGCAGUGAAAUGCGUAGAGAUGUGGAGGAACACCGAUGGCGAAGGCAGCCCCCUGGGCUAACACUGACGCUCAUGCACGAAAGCGUGGGGAGCAAACAGG